rnacentral:lncRNA from 1 species
CCUCUGUCUCGAUCAGCAGGAUUCCAGUCAAAGUCAUCACUAGUGUCUUGUUUCCAGUCACAGACUCCUCGACUGAAACUGCAGUCAACUUCAUGCUCUUGUCUUGUCACCGAAACUUUUCUUUGUGCCAGGAGAGGGCCAAAGGCAGCUGCUUCUUUACCCUGGGGAAAGAAGACAUCUCCUCUAAGGCUUUGCUCAUGGUCAACCUGAUUCUCAUAAUCUUCCUUCUCUUCCUCAUCUGUCUCAUCGACUUCCUCUUCUAUAGUAACUUCAGUUUUUUUCUCUCCCACAGUGUAACUCCCACCAAGAUCAAAACCGCCUUCAUAGUCCAGUGACUGCAAGCGGGUCUUAGAAGCCGGCGUCAUGGCUGCUUCUGGUAUCACAUUCUUGAUUGCUUUAUGCUUUGUCACGCUGUUUUUAUGUGCAAGGAGUUUCUUAAUUGUGUCCUUAGCUGUUCCAGGGAUUCUUGGAAUUUCCUUCACUGAUUUUUCUGGAAUAGCUAGAAACCAGAAGAAAAUAGUAAAUAUUCACCUAAUGAAUCAUUCAGCAAACACAUUUAUAAAUGGCACCACACUGUCCUUGAUAAUACCCAGAGACUCAUACAGCUAAAUUCUCUACCAUGAGAUUUAAGUUCAUCUCUGUACUGUACUAUGUAUGCAUUUGCCUCCGUUGUACAGACAGCUCUCUGAUUUAGAAUUGUAGAAGCACAAAAUGGUAUGGGUUGGAAAAGAGCUUUAAAGAUCAUUCAGUUCCAGUUCCCCUGAUCCACUACACUGAGUAGCUCAUAGCCUCAUCCAACCUGGCAUUGAGCACCUCCAGGGAUGGGGCAUCCACAGCUUCCCUGGGCAGCUGUGCCAGCGCCUCACUGCUCUCAUAGUAAAGAAUUUACCAUGAGUUAUAGUGAAAACACGAAAGUGACCCUCUCUUACAACCUCACUUGGCUCUUAUGUAACACAGUCCACGCAGCUCCUUAUAUUCAACAUUUAUAUACAAAAGCUUGGAGGAAAAAAAUAACUCAUCAUUUUGUGGGCUACUGAAAAUUGUCCACAGACAUGAUUCCCUACAAAACAAAUGCCAGCCUACUAGCAGUGAGAAUUUUUCUUAGAUAUCUUUUGUGAACUCCUCUGCCCUAACAUCCCUUUCACUACAGGCUGAAAAACACUGAAAUAAAGCAUAUUUUGAGGGAAGAUAUAUCAAGCUGAUACAUCAUAUUUCAUUUAUUUCAAAAGGAUAAAGCAUUGAAACUUCAGAGAGGCACUCAAGAAUUCUGAAUUAUUAUCUUGAAAUUGUAAGUUGGUCUAGAACAUAAAUACACAAUUUCCUAAGAUUUUUACUAUUUUAUGAUUCCUCUUGACUGACAAAUACUAAAAAGAUAUUCAGCCUUGUGAUAUCUUGCAAAUUCUGAUCCUGCUCAGAAACACAUAGGUCAGAACUGAAAAACUUAGAGUGGAGUAAAAGUCUACCAAGAUUGUUCAAAUCUGUAAAAUAAAAGACAUAAAUCUGAAUGUGUGGGUUUUCCCCAUUUUUGUUCCAUAAUAGAGUAUAAUGAAGUCAAAUAUCCUCUAUAUCCAGACAGAAAACUUCAAAACUAGCGAUAAGAGGAUAUUUUUCUAUUUACUUUGCAGCCAUGAUUUGUGCAUUAUGUUUCUCUUCUCAAUAUACUGUGUCUCAAGACAAAAGCCUUUUGUUUCUUUACAAAUUCAGUUAUUCUCUCUACGACCAUCAAACUAUGUUGGGAUGCUUGAAUGAGAGACUAUUUUUAAUAGAAACCCAUUUGAAGAUACAAUUCCAUCGAUGCAGAGAGCCAGAAUUGAUUUUCCAGCAGUGAUGAAACCCAGAAGCCAUACAAAGGGCUCCUUUUGGGUGGUCCUGUGUGGAGCCAGGAGAUGAACUCAGUGAUCACUGUGGGUUCCUUCCAGUUUGGGAUAUUCUGUGAUUCACUGACACCUUUUUUUCCAUAUGUUUCUUUUCACAUAAGCAAAAAGGAACAGCAGAAAAAACACCACUUAGUGAAACAAAGCUGUAGUCAAGUAGGAAAAGAGAAAAAAUCCCAGAAUUUAUAUUAAUUCCUGGAUAACAUAACCCUAAUCAAAGUGAAUUGGUCAGAUUUUAUUUAAAGCAAAUGCAGCUACUUUUUCUACUUAUUAUGCCAGUACAAUUAGACUCUUGGUUAAUUCACUGGAGCGUUCAGAUUUUCUGAGAUUCUCUGAGAUUGCAGUUGGAGGC